rnacentral:lncRNA from 1 species
AGACCAGGACCAGAGUUAUAGUCAGGGCCUAUAGGGAGAAUAUAACUAGACCAGGACCAGAGUUAUAGUUAGGGUCUAUAGGGAGAAUAUAAAUAGACCAGAGUUAUAGAUAGGGCCUAUAGGGAGAAUAUAACUAGACCAGGGCCAGAGUUAUAGUUAGGGCCUAUAGGGAGAAUAUAACUAGACCAGAGUUAUAGUUAGGGUCUACAGGGAGAAUAAAACUAGACCAGGACCAGAGAUAUAGUUAGGGCCAAUGGUGAGAAUAUAACUAGACCAGGACCAGAGUUAUAGUUAGGGCCUAUAGGGAGGAUAUAACUACACCAGGACCAGAGUUAUAGUUAGGGCCUAUAGGGAGGAUAUAACUAGACCAGAGAUAUAGUUAGGGUCUAUAGGGAGAAUAUAACUAGACCAGAGUUAUAGUUAGGGCCUAUAGGGAGUAUAUAACUAGACCAGGACCAGAGUUAUAGUUAGGGUCUACAGGGAGAAUAUAACUAGACCAGGACCAGAGUUAUAGUUAGGGCCUAUAGGGAGGAUAUAACUAGACCAGAGUUACAGUUAGGGCCUAUAGGGAGGAUAUAACUAGACCAGAGUUACAGUUAGGGCCUAUAGGGAGGAUAUAACUGGACCAGGACCAGAGUUAUAGUUGGGGCCUAUAAAGAGAAUAUAACUAGACCAGGACCAGAGUUAUAGUUAGGCUCUAUAGUGAGGAUAUAACUAGACCAGAGUUAUAGUUAGGGCCUAUAGGGAGGAUAUAACUAGACCAGGACCAGAGGUAUAGUUAGGGCCUAUAGGGAGAAUAUAACUAGACCAGGAGCAGAGUUAUAGUUAGGGCCUAUAGGGAGAAUAUAACUAGACCAGGACCAGAGUUAUAGUUAGGGCCUAUAGGGAGAAUAUAACUAGACCAGGACCAGAGUUAUAAUUAGGGCCUAUAGGGAGAAUAUAACUAGACCAGGACCAGAGUUAUAGUUAGGGCCUAUAGGGAGAAUAUAACUAGACCAUAGUUAUAGUUAGGGUCUAUAGGGAGAAUAUAACUAGACCAGAGUUAUAGUUAGGGCCUAUAGGGUGGAUAUAACUAGACCAGGACCAAAGUUAUAGUUAGGGCCUAUAGGGAGGAUAUAACUAGACCAGAGAUAUAGUUAGGGCCUAUAUGGAGGAUAUAACUAGACCAGGACCAGAGCUAUAGUUAGGGCCUAUAGGGAGGAUAUAACUAGACCAGAGUUAUAUUUAGGGCCUAUAGGGAGGAUAUAACUAGACCAGGACCAGAGUUAUAGUUAGUGCCUAUAGGGAAAAUAUAACUAGACCAGAGUUAUAGUUAGGGUCUAUAGGGAGAAUAUAACUAGACCAGGACGAGAGUUAUAGUUAGGGCCUAUAGGGAGAAUAUAACUAGACCAGGACCAGAGUUAUAGUUAGGGUCUAUAGGGAGAAUGUAAAUAGACCAGAGUUAUAGUUAGGGCCUAUAGGGAGAAUAUAACUAGAACAGAGUUAUAGUUAGGGUCUAUAGGGAGAAUAUAACUAGACAAGAGUUAUAGUUAGGGUCUAUAGGGAGGAUAUAACUAGACCAGAGUUAUAGUUAGGGUCUAUAGGGAGGAUAUAACUAGACCAGGACCAGAGUUAUAUUUAGGGUCUAUAGGGAGAACAUAACUAGACCAGGACCAGAGCUAUAGUUAGGGUCUACAGGGAGAAUAUA